GACGAACGCUGGCGGCGUGCUUAACACAUGCAAGUCGAGCGGUAAGGCCCUUUCGGGGGUACACGAGCGGCGAACGGGUGAGUAACACGUGGGUGACCUGCCCUUAGCUCUGGGAUAAGCCUGGGAAACUGGGUCUAAUACCGGAUAUGACUCCAUGACGCAUGUUGUGGGGUGGAAAGCCUUGUGCGGCUAGGGAUGGGCCCGCGGCCUAUCAGCUUGUUGGUGAGGUAACGGCUCACCAAGGCUUCGACGGGUAGCUGGUCUGAGAGGACGAUCAGCCGCACUGGCACUGCGACACGGGCCAGACUCCUACGGGAGGCAGCAGUAAGGAAUAUUGCGCAAUGGGCGAAAGCCUGACGCAGCGACGCCGCGUGGGGA
rnacentral:rRNA from 1 species